rnacentral:lncRNA from 1 species
CUAACCCAGGAAUUGAACCAGGGUCUCCUGCAUUGUAGGCAGAUUCUUUAUCAGCUGAGCUACCAAGGAAGCCCAACUGAGGGCAAAAGUACAGAGGAACCCUGGAAGGAGACCAGGGAGGGACACUGAGAGGUAUGCCUGGAUCUCAGAAUUUAGGAAAGGAGCCCCUGGCCACCCUGACUCCCCUGUCUUCUUCCUCCCCGUCGGCUGAGGAGGGCCCUUGGGGUUGGGCUGAGUCCCCCCACCUCAAACUCCUGUGCAGGCUCCCUGGAUGUUGUCGUGGGUGCUAGAUUGUGUGUUUAGGGGAAGGGGGUUGCAAUGCAAUGUCUGGUUAGGGAAGACAUGGAAUUCUGAGGGAGGGAGGAGUAGCUAGCCCAACCAGUUUGGAGAGGUUGUUAGCUGACAGAUAGCCUGCGUGCUCGCUGCUCCGGGAACUGAAAGGAAGUCCCGGACAACCCUCAGUCGGCUCCCUCCUCCAGGCUGUGCUUCUUUGGCCCCUUCCUCCCGACCCAAGUCUCUUCCCGCAGGACUGGGGAAGGCUGGGGUCUGGGACCUCGGCAGGCUUGAGUGUCACUAUCUAAAUUGGCCUUGAGGGGAAAGGAGUGUGUGUGUGUGUGUGUGUGACACAUUAAAGGACAGAGAGAUCCCCUGGGGACAUCUUUCAAGCCACGUGUCUUUCAUUCCCUCUAGGCCACAAAACCCGCCCUGACCAGCCUCUGCUUCUCCUUUCCUGGUGGUUGACUCAGAGCCUCUCAGAGCCCCUCUGCCUCUCUGUCUUACUUUUCCUCCAGGCCUUUCCUCCCAAGCUUCACGCCACUGUUGUUUCCAAGUCUUCCCUCUCUCCCUCAGCAGCCUCUCCUCCCCUUUCUUCCCUGCACUCUGCCUGCUGGUCUGGGGCCAGGGGGAUCCCAGACCCAGCUUCUACGCGAUUCCCUCCUCUUGGCCAGGACGGGGCGGGCUCCCGGAACUGUUGCCAAUGGAGGUGGGGCCCUAGGGGGUGGAGCCCCUGGUGCAGGCUCGGUCCAGGCGGCGGCUAG